AACGCGAAGAACCUUACCUACUUUUGAAUCCACAGAAUCUAGCAGAGAUGUUGGAGUGCCUUCGGGAACUGUGAGACAGGUGCUGCAUGGCUGUCGUCAGCUCGUGUCGUGAGAUGUUGGGUUAAGUCCCGUAACGAGCGCAACCCUUAUCCUUAGUUACCAGCGAGUAAAGUCGGGGACUUUAAGGAGACUGCCGGUGAUAAACCGGAGGAAGGUGGGGAUGACGUCAAGUCCUCAUGGCCCUUACAAGUAGGGCUACACACGUGCUACAAUGGUCGGUACAAAGGGUAGCCAACCCGCGAGGGGGAGCUAAUCUCAAAAAGCCGAUCAUAGUCCGGAUUGGAGUCUGCAACUCGACUCCAUGAAGCUGGAAUCGCUAGUAAUCGCGGAUCAGAAUGCCGCGGUGAAUACGUUCCCGGGCCUUGUA
rnacentral:rRNA from 1 species